CCAAAGGCUCUUUUCAGAGCCCCCUCCCUCUUCACGAAAAAGUUGU
rfam:Erinaceus europaeus unplaced genomic scaffold scaffold00740, whole genome shotgun sequence